GUUCUCAGUUCGGACUGCAGUCUGCAACUCGACUGCACGAAGCUGGAAUCGCUAGUAAUCGCGGAUCAGCACGCCGCGGUGAAUACAUUCCCGGGCCUUGUACACACCGCCCGUCACACCAUGGAAGUCUGCAAUGCCCGAAGCCGGUGGCCUAACCACUUAUGUGGAAGGAGCCGUCUAAGGCAGGGCAGAUGACUGGGGUGAAGUCGUAACAAGGUAGC
rnacentral:rRNA from 1 species